GCCGGGCAUGGUGGUGCAUGCCUGUAAUCCCAGUGGCUCGGGAGGUGGAGGCAGGAGGAUCACAAGUUCAAAGCCAGUCUCAACAACUUAAUGAACUGCUAAGCAACUCAGUAAGACCCUGUCUCUA
rnacentral:sRNA from 1 species